rnacentral:miRNA from 1 species
AACUUUGGUGUUUAUGACGUCGAUAUACGACGUCAUAAACACGGUCAACUUUGGUCUUUAUGACGUCGAUAUACGACGUCAUAAACACGAUCAACUUUGGUGUUUAUGACGUCGAUAUACGACGUCAUAAACACGGUCAACUUUGGUGUUUAUGACGUCGAUAUACGACGUCAUAAACACGGUCAACUUU